UUGUAAACAUCAUCAGGAGCAUUGAAUGAGCUUUCUCUGUUGUCGACACAAUUAAUCCGACCAUCAAAAGUGACGUUUCUCGUUGGUCCAUUGUUGAAGAUGAAGGGAUCAUCAGGUGCCCAGGUUUUUCUUAAGAUCACCAAUUCUUUUGGCGGGUGAAAUAGAUGAGAAAGUGGAAGAGGGACUUGAAUAGAUUUGAUGGUGUCGUGAAAGCUUCAAUGGCGUUUACAAACGCAGAAGGUGAGCCACUUGAGGGUUUAAACUCGAUUAUGAGCUUACGAUUAGAUGAAAUCUGGAAUAUAAAUUCUCUAACUGCAGUCGUGUUUCCGAUGCUAAAACCAGAAAACAGAGAAACCCCGGAGACAAAAAAAAAACGUCUAAAAUUUUGAAUUGCAAAAAUUUGAAUCCAUUAGUAAAGAAUUGGGAAAAGUGAAGGUGUACCGUUAUGAAAGUUUUGAUUUCAUCUACUUCGAGUUCGUAUCAUGAUUUCUUAGUGAAAACUCUUGCUGUUUGAUAGAUAUUCGGCAAGUCGGUUGUCAGGUUGUUGUUUUCUAUGGCUACAUGACCACCGAAGAUGGAGAAAGUUGGGGGUUGAUGUCGCCGAUGAAUUUCCGGCUAACGAGAUUCUGACGAAGGAGAAAAAGAGAUAUCAACGAUAGCUUUAGCGUUCUUCUAGCGACUGUAGAGCAUUUUUGGCGACGUUUUUGAUUUCCAGCUUUACCAGCGACUGUUGUUGUCACCGCCGACGACUACCACCACCACUACACCAUCUGUUGAUUUCUUGCCACCACAAGUUCUAUUUACUGUGAAUUUCGAGAUUAAUUACAAAAUAUGUGUAUUUUUAUAUAUUAGAUGAAAUUUGGCAUAUGUGUGUAUAUUUGAUAUAUGUAUGUGAAUCUUUGUGUUUGGCGUAUGUAUGUGAAAGCAUAUGUAUUUGGUGUGUAUAUGUAAAAGUAUGUGUGUUUGGUAUAAUUAUGAUGAUAUUAGGUAUGUAUGUGUAUUU